rnacentral:rRNA from 1 species
UACGUAGGGUGCGAGCGUUAAUCGGAAUUACUGGGCGUAAAGCGUGCGCAGGCGGUUUUGUAAGCCAGGUAUGAAAUCCCCGGGCUUAACCUGGGAAUGGCAUUUGGGACUGCAAAGCUGGAGUGCGGCAGAGGGGACUGGAAUUCCUGGUGUAGCAGUGAAAUGCGUAGAGAUCAGGAGGAACACCGAUGGCGAAGGCAGGUCCCUGGGUUGACACUGACGCUCAUGCACGAAAGCGUGGGGAGCAAACAG